AUUUUACAUAAACUAAACCAUUCAGUAUUCCAUUAUUACACCCAUCCAAACUUAUUUGCACUUAUUUGAUUUAUCUUAAUGCUGCCAACGUUUUUCAUUUCUGAACUCCUGUCAUUAUACUGUGUUUUUUCUUUCUUUCUCUAGAACUAUAAUUUUCCCCUCCUGUGACUCACCCCCAUCUCUCCAUGGGAUCCAGAAGCUGAGCUGGUGACGGUGACCAGGGCUGCAGUUUUCCCCUCAGAGGACUGACUAGAUGGGGAUUUGUCUUAUUUCUCUUUUGGAGCUGUUAAAAGCCCUCUUCAGGCAAUAUCGCCUAGACAAGGAGUGGGGAUGUGUCUUUAGCCCAGCCCCCUGAAGUAAAGCAACCCAGUUACCAUAAUCUGCCGAGGUUUUAUGGGAGGGUAGUACCUCUGGUGGGGGACACAUGUGCUCCUUCGGUAGUAGUUUGUCCACCUUUGUUCCCCCAUCCUGCACUCAGCUUCCACCUGUGUUUCCUAGAAGAUGUCAGCGUGUGACAGCAGCCACAUCCCAAGAACAGUAAACUGGCUGGCUAAACCAGGCGAGGGCAGCUGAUGAGUCUUUAAACCUCAGUGACUUAGGGACUUCCCCUGCAUGCAGAGACAGGCUCUGGCCAAUUGAGCGGAUAGGACUAAUAGUGGGUCCAACAGUCAAGAAGGCGUGUGCCAUAGAGGGAAGUGAGGGGCAGAUGGGGCUCGCCAACCUGGGAAGGUAGUCCACCGAGAAGGAGGAAAACUCUGAACCUAAACCUCCGCUUUGUGGGAUAUUUUUGGGAGAAGAAAGUGCUAAGGAGUAAAUCCUACAGAAAUCCGGAGUGGAGUCCCUAAGGCGGUUGGAUGGCACCUUGUACACUGCCUUCUGGCAACUCCUGCAGCCAAGCAGGUGCCCAACAUAUUGCUCUGCUUUCCUUUGGGCCACACCAGAGAGGCUGAGAAUGGGGUCUUGUCAUCUGGGCAGCCUAGGGCCUCCAUACACAUUGCGUAGGCUUGCACCCAAAGGAGGUCACUUCAGUUCUGCUAAUGUAGUGGUUUGACUUCACCCCCAAGAGACACCCUCCAUUGUCCCUCAAGACAAAAGGGAGCCAACAAUUGAGAAUGGGAAUAGUGUAAUUCAUAGUCCAUGUUUUAUGUAUGUCUGCCAGUAUGAGUAAUUGUUAAUGCAAAAGUCCAUCCCACCUGCCUUCAGUUCCUGAUCAAUAUAAAAGGUUUGUAGAGAAUAGUAUUUUUUGGUUGGUUACUUCGGUGUGUUUCUUUCUUUCCUGCUGCCUGUUUUGUCGUUAAUAUUAAUUGCAUUUAUAUAUCACCUUUUUCUCCAGGUUCUCUUCCUUCUCAUUUAAUCUCCACAAUAACCCUGCGAGGUAGGUUAGUCUGAGAGGCAGUGACUGGCCCAAGGUCACCCAGUGACCUUCCUGGCUAAGUAUAGCACUCAGGCUUUUCUUUACAUGCUUCACUCAGCAGAAUGAACACCUCAAGUUCCUGACCUACUGCCUUGGAUUGGUAAUGAUGAAUUUUAUUCUCACUCAAGAUGCUAGGGAACUUAGAACACGUGUUUUACAACUAGGUGGAUUGGAGGAAGCAGUUAGGUGGCGGCUUGGGACCAAACUGCCUAAAAGUGUGCCUUAUCCAUUAUCAACUAGGUGGAGGGGCAGGAUAUAAACUCAAUAAAUAAAUCCAUCUCAGAUCCUACAAGUGGCAGGUAAGGCCUUGGUGGUGUACUAGUGGGGAGUACCCACUUGAUAUUGUCCUUUUCUAUGGUGGUUCCCCAUUUGUGAGAUGUGUCUAUUAAAAAAUAGGACACUAAACCGGCAUAAGAGCCUAAGAGCCUUAUUUCACUUUCUCAGAAAGAGAGUUUUACAGACAACUGUUGUCAGGUCAGAGCCAUUUUUCUUUUAUGUUAAAGCAAAUUGAAAUAGACAAUAUUAUACAAUAGAAGCUAGGUCCAGACAACAAUGCUGCAACUGUUAAUUCCUCUUCUCAAAUUGUAUUCAUAACUGACGUGCAUAAGAUUGCUCUGCUUACUCAGAAGUAAGAUCCACUGAGACUUACUCCUGGGCAACGGUGUAAGAUGGUUGUUGCUACCUUGAGUAAAUUGGGUUAACAGAAAAUAAAAUGGUUACUUUUCAGAUAACUGUAUGCAUGCAUCUAAAACUGUGAAUUAUACCAAUUCUGAUUGUUCUUGUGUUUUUCAUACUGCUCCACAUCAAAUAGAGAACAUUUAUUUAUGGCAGAAGUACACAAGUUAAAAUGAAUACCCUGUAAACAAAAACCAGCACAAUAUUCUGGUUACAUAUUUACUCUACUGUAAAUGGAAAAAAACCUGUGACUGAAAUUUUCCCAGACAUAAUUUAUGGGCAGCUCAUCUAUCCCUCAAUGUGACUGUGUCUACCCGUGUUCACUCUCUCUCAAGGAAUCUUAAGAUCUAUUCCAGCUGGAGCAAGCCGCUGAUUUGCUUUGCGAGGUCAGUCAAGGAUAACUGCUAUGUGUAAACAGACAUCUAUCCUACAGACAGACUGUUAUCUAAUAGCAAGCUAAUACCAUAUAAUGCUUGCAUAAUAGCCUAGGAAAGAUUAUGCUAGGAAAAGUCAUAGGAGUUCGGAAAGAAUCUACCCUGUGAAAAGAAAAGAUACCAUAUUCUUAUCGGUACAUAAAAACACUUGUUAACACAAAAAAGUAUCAAAUCACUUUUUCUUCAAACAUUUAUUGAGAGCAGCUUUCUAGAUUUGUUUGCUUCUGUCUUCAGUUUGGAUUAGGAACUUGAUCUGAUAACAAUAUAAUCAAAGCAGAAAACAGCUUCCGUUACUUUAGGUACUUGUAUGCUAAUACUGCAUGGAAGUUUCUCUGAAUGAAGAAGCAUGCAGUCACAUUUUUCUUUAAAAGUGAAAUAUUAACAUAAAGUACCCUCUUCUUGGCAUUUUGAUAAAAGCUGUAAAAAAAAUCAUGCGCUGUAUUUUUAUAUUGUAAACAGCACUGUGAUCCUACGAUGAAGGGUGGUAUAGAAAUUUAAUAAACAACACAUAUUAUUGCUGUUUUUUAUUUUUUUAUUGUAUUGUUGUUGUUCCCAUAAUCAGAGAAUAACUAAACACAACAUAUAGUGGGUGUCAAUAAAUUAAGGUUUAUUCAGAGUAGAUCUAUUUAAAGUAAUGAAUGUGUUAGGUCUACUUUAAGUAAAAAAUGUUUGAAUAGCACCCAGUGCCUUCAAACCUGAAUCCUCCUAAGUAACAUAUUUCCAAUAAAAUAUACUUCAGCUAGUAUUUAGGAAUUGGUCAAUGACUGACAGUUGUGUAAAAUAAAUCUGACAAAACUGCAUCAUCAACUGUUCUUCAGAUUUAUUAAUGACUGAAUAAAAUGUGACUGGGGUAUAUUUCUUCUCAUGGGAACAUCUCAUGCUACAGCCAAUUGUGACUAAGGUACUAUAAUUUGAUGUAGCUGAGACUGCAGUAUGUAUCUAGUUUUUUCGAAAACAGUUACACUGCUGGCUGAUCCAUUCACCUAGCUUACCCUCUGGAAAAAUGUUAAGGGAUUGGGGGGGGGGUAAGAUCCGUCCUGCCACCUGGGUGUGUUACAGGCAUGCAAGUCCCGAAGGUGACUGGGUCUUGAAGCAACAUCCCAACAUCCCUUAAGUGUAUGUUCAAGUGGGGAACACAGAGCUCAUCCCUGAUUACCCCUGGGAUGGAUCCUGCCCAAUGCCCCAACCACCACAGGAGGGCCCAUCUUACCCCUUGCCAAACAAAGGCAGCUAUAAUUGAUCUUAACAAGCCAGGUUAAGAUCCUGUAGUCAGAUGUCAUUGCAGAAUGCUGUUUUCAGCUACAAGAAGUGGAAACGAAGUUACUGUCAUUUGAUAGAUUUAAGACCAUCGUAGGUUACUACAUUUUAGAAGCAGUUAUAUGGUAUUAUGUAAAUUAAACACUUGCUGAUACUGCCAGACAUGGUUACAGUAUAUAUACUGGUUCAUAUGACAGUUUGGGUUACAUCAAAGGAAGGUCCUGAUGCUACUACUAUUCAGACACCUGCUUAUUGCUAAAAUGGUAAUUCCAGAUACUAAUCCACAAAGUGCAAAUUUGAGAGUUUAUAUGCUUCUAAAACCAUUAUUUCCUGAAAUAAUUAUGGGAAGGUUACUCAAGGUCUGUUGGAUAGGUCAACUGAGAAGACCAUCUGACAACUCAUAUGCUGUUAGGUCAGUGAAAGGAAAUGUAUCUUGGGUUGUCAGCAGGUACAGUCUGAAAUAAAUACUGAGAAACUGAAUUAAGGUUUUAACAUACCACAUCGGCAGAGUGUGAUACUAUGAUACUGAGAUGAAUUCUGAUAUUUGCAGAGGAGGGCAGCCAAGAUGAUAAAGGCUCUGGAAACCAAGUCUUAUGAGGAAUGCUUGAGGGAGUUGGGUAUAUUUAGCCUGGAAAAGAGGAGACUGAGAGGAGAUAUGGUAGCCAUCUUCAAAUAUCUAAAGGGCUGUGGCAUGGAAGGUGGAGCAAGCUUGUUUUUUCCUGCUCUGGAGGCUAGAACCUGAACCAAUGGAUUCAAGUCAUAAGGAGAUUCCUACUAAACAUCAAGAAGAACUUUUUGACAGUAAGAGCUGUUUGAUGAUGCAAUUCCCUCGGGAGGUUGGAUGGCCAUCUCUUAGGGAUUCUUUAGCUGUGAUUGCUGCAUUACAGGGGGUUUGAUUAGAUGAUUCCUGGGGGAACUUCCAACUCUACAAUUCUAUGAUUAGUGGUGUUUGCCAGUCUGGGGCUGAUGGGAGCUGUAGUAAAAAACAUAUGGAAGAAACCAGGUUGGCAAAGAUCAGCAAUAAACAGAAGUAAUUGGCUCCCUAUUUACAAAAAGAUACUGUCUCUGUUUACAUCAUGUGGAGCUACAACAACUAUUGCUGUCCCAAGGGACACUGACACCACAACCAUUCUUUUUGAAUGUCUAAAAGACUAAAUAUAAACUGUUAAUCCUUUAGAGAUUGUAUGAAAUGAAAACCAGGGCACCUCCCACUGGCCACAUUGAAGACAUAUCAGUGUCAUGGGGAAAAUGGGAACAAUCUGAUAAAUAUUUUAAGCACGUGAAGCUGAACUAGGUUGCAGAACAGUGUUAGAUGGCAGCUUAAAAUUCUUUGUAAAUUCUGGAAACAAAUAAUGGGAUCCUCUCAUCUGUACAACAACAUGCC